AUGAGAGAAGAGCCAAAGAAGAGAAAGAAGACUCGAUGCAUCUCUGAGAAACUGCCUGACACCGCAGCCGGCAACGCAGGGAAAGUGCUGCUGCUUUUGAAACAGGCUGGGGAGCCCAGAAUGUCACAUUCUGAGGACCUGGGAGUUAGGAAUUCAACACAGGAAUUUGGGGAGGACACAGUUCCACCCAUUCCCAUGCUGGAAGCUUGGGCUGCUGAGAUCUGGGAGUCUGCCCUGGGCCUGCUUGGAGCUCUGAGUGGAUGGAAGAGCUCAGUCGUGUUUGCACCGACGGUGACACGUUUUGCCCAAGAACAAGUCUCUCAGCUACGGAGUCCCCAUGUUGUUGCUGAUUGUUGGAGGUUCUUUUGGUCUUUGUGUUUUCUCAAAUCCAAUAUGAUGCUAUGAAGAGAAAACUUGAUCCUGAGUUAAAAAAAAAAAAAAACUGAGAGCAAAUAAAAUAACUUUAGAAUCAGAAUAUGAGAAAAUAAAAGACUCCGCUUUUGAUGACUGGAAGAAUAUUCAAGGACCCAGGCCCUGGAAAGAUCUUGACCUCCUCCAAGGAAGAAAUCCACAAAGCCUUAAGACUAAGAGAACUUGACUUUCUGAUUCUUUUUUCCUUUUCCUUUUUUAAAUAAAAAUGUUAUAAACUGGA